rnacentral:lncRNA from 1 species
UGUGACUGAAGCCAUAUCAUCAAUAGUAGUCACACUGAAAACAAAAAGGAAUUAAGUAAAGAAGUAUUAAGCAAUAGCAAAUCUGAUUGGGGAAAAAGCAAUCUGAAUAAGAAGAUUUCCAUUACUGUAAGUCCUAAUUAAAAAAACUUUGAAAAGGAAACAUUUUUUGAGGGGGGAGGGGUGAUUAGUUGUAAUUUGACCAGAAAAAAAA